GAUGUGAGGGUGAUCUGGCUGCAACAUCUGUCACCCCAUUGAUCGAUCACCAGGGUUGAUUCGGCUGAUCUGGCUGGCUAGCUGGGUGUCCCCUUCCUCCCUCACCAUGUGCGUUCCUCCCAAAGCUGUGUGCUCGGUUGAAGAGGAUGACCUUCCCCAAUAGAAGGAGGAUCAUCCUUUGGUCAAAGAUAUAUGUGUAGCUGCUCUCCCCUGCUAGAACCUCCAAACAAGUCUCAAGAGUGAAGGGGUAGGGUCUAGCUUGUCAAUCAGAUUGCAGCUUGAUGACCUCAUUUGGAAGCGCAAGGGAGAUAAGU
rnacentral:snRNA from 1 species